GACGUAGGGCGCGAGCGUUGUCCGGAUUUAUUGGGCGUAAAGAGCUCGUAGGCGGCUUGUCGCGUCGUCCGUGAAAACCUGCAGCUCAACUGCAGGCUUGCGGUCGAUACGGGCAGGCUAGAGUUCGGUAGGGGAGACUGGAAUUCCUGGUGUAGCGGUGAAAUGCGCAGAUAUCAGGAAGAACACCCGUGGCUAAGGCGGCUCUCUAGUACGGUACUGACGCUGAGACGCGAAAGCGUGGGGAGCGAACAGG
rnacentral:rRNA from 1 species